rnacentral:lncRNA from 1 species
CCGUAGUCUAGGGUUUCUGCACCUACUGUUACAUGUCCUCGCCGCCAACUAACGGCUCACUCUUCAGGAAUGGUGAUACUCUUUUAUAUCUGCCUUUUUAAACUUAUUUUAGCUACGAUUUGGAAGCUUCUUUAUCUGGUUGGCAAGAAAUUAUCCAUUUUUGACCAACUCGUUCCCUAGAAGCUAUAUUGUGUGUGCUGCCCCUUUUUUAUAUUUCUCCUUCACUAACCCCUUUUUAUCUCAUUUGUGUUUGGAAUACACUUGGGCAGCUACAUUUUUUUAAUUUUUUAAACGAAAUUUGUUGAUAGGGGUGAACAACAGUGAUGAGCCAUUAUACAGACACAGACCUGUAAUGAUUUGCGAAAAUGAUCGCAAUUUAUGAACAUCUAAGGGACUGAGUUUUUCCACUCAAUUCCAAAAAUUUGUGGCUUUUACUAUGCUUUGCUUAUCUAAUUAUUUAUUGGGCCACACAUUGUUGUGUGGUUCUUUAACAAGUGAAGCUAAAAAGAAUGUUCCUCUCGCUAUCCUUUGCUUCAUUUAUGGUGUAUUUGGACGUUGGGGUACUACAUUCUUUAUGUUUAUUAAUCUGUUUUGUUCCUAUUAUUUCACUGCAUAUUGAAUUGACUGUAGUUGUAUGUUUUGGCUCUUUAUGCUUCGUAUCUAUCUAAUUUUGUCUAUUUAUUAUAUACUGCCGUUUAAGACUAGAUAUAUAUUUUAAAUUCAUUAAUAAAUGAGAAUGUAUGUAUUAACGAUGAUGAACUAUUUAUACAGACACAGACCUGUAAUGAUUUGCGAAAAUGAUCGCAAUUUUAUGAACAUCUAAGGGACUGAGUUUUUCCACUCAUUUUCAAUUUUACCCCCAAAUUUUACUUUGUUUCCUAAAUUUUA